CGGGGGGGGGGGUGCCUAUACAUGCAAGUAGAACGCUGAAGAGAGGAGCUUGCUCUUCUUGGAUGAGUUGCGAACGGGUGAGUAACGCGUAGGUAACCUGCCUUGUAGCGGGGGAUAACUAUUGGAAACGAUAGCUAAUACCGCAUAACAAUGGAUGACACAUGUCAUUUAUUUGAAAGGGGCAAUUGCUCCACUACAAGAUGGACCUGCGUUGUAUUAGCUAGUAGGUGAGGUAACGGCUCACCUAGGCGACGAUACAUAGCCGACCUGAGAGGGUGAUCGGCCACACUGGGACUGAGACACGGCCCAGACUCCUACGGGAGGCAGCAGUAGGGAAUCUUCGGCAAUGGGGGCAACCCUGACCGAGCAACGCCGCGUGAGUGAAGAAGGUUUUCGGAUCGUAAAGCUCUGUUGUAAGUCAAGAACGAGUGUGAGAGUGGAAAGUUCACACUGUGACGGUAGCUUACCAGAAAGGGACGGCUAACUACGUGCCAGCAGCCGCGGUAAUACGUAGGUCCCGAGCGUUGUCCGGAUUUAUUGGGCGUAAAGCGAGCGCAGGCGGUUUGAUAAGUCUGAAGUUAAAGGCUGUGGCUCAACCAUAGUUCGCUUUGGAAACUGUCAAACUUGAGUGCAGAAGGGGAGAGUGGAAUUCCAUGUGUAGCGGUGAAAUGCGUAGAUAUAUGGAGGAACACCGGUGGCGAAAGCGGCUCUCUGGUCUGUAACUGACGCUGAGGCUCGAAAGCGUGGGGAGCGAACAGGAUUAGAUACCCUGGUAGUCCACGCCGUAAACGAUGAGUGCUAGGUGUUGGAUCCUUUCCGGGAUUCAGUGCCGCAGCUAACGCAUUAAGCACUCCGCCUGGGGAGUACGACCGCAAGGUUGAAACUCAAAGGAAUUGACGGGGGCCCGCACAAGCGGUGGAGCAUGUGGUUUAAUUCGAAGCAACGCGAAGAACCUUACCAGGUCUUGACAUCCCGAUGCUAUUUCUAGAGAUAGAAAGUUACUUCGGUACAUCGGUGACAGGUGGUGCAUGGUUGUCGUCAGCUCGUGUCGUGAGAUGUUGGGUUAAGUCCCGCAACGAGCGCAACCCCUAUUGUUAGUUGCCAUCAUUCAGUUGGGCACUCUAGCGAGACUGCCGGUAAUAAACCGGAGGAAGGUGGGGAUGACGUCAAAUCAUCAUGCCCCUUAUGACCUGGGCUACACACGUGCUACAAUGGUUGGUACAACGAGUUGCGAGUCGGUGACGGCAAGCUAAUCUCUUAAAGCCAAUCUCAGUUCGGAUUGUAGGCUGCAACUCGCCUACAUGAAGUCGGAAUCGCUAGUAAUCGCGGAUCAGCACGCCGCGGUGAAUACGUUCCCGGGCCUUGUACACACCGCCCGUCACACCACGAGAGUUUGUAACACCCGAAGUCGGUGAGGUAACCUUUGGAGCCAGCCGCCUUAAAGGUGGGGAAAAAAG
rnacentral:rRNA from 1 species